rnacentral:rRNA from 1 species
UACGUAGGGUGCAAGCGUUGUCCGGAAUUAUUGGGCGUAAAGAGCUCGUAGGCGGUCAGUCGCGUCUGCUGUGAAAACUCGGGGCUUAACUCCGGGCCUGCAGUGGGUACGGGCUGACUAGAGUGCGGUAGGGGAGAUCGGAAUUCCUGGUGUAGCGGUGAAAUGCGCAGAUAUCAGGAGGAACACCGGUGGCGAAGGCGGAUCUCUGGGCCGUAACUGACGCUGAGACGCGAAAGCGUGGGGAGCAAACAGG